rnacentral:rRNA from 1 species
UGGGGAAUUUUGGACAAUGGGGGAAACCCUGAUCCAGCCAUCCCGCGUGUGCGAUGAAGGCCUUCGGGUUGUAAAGCACUUUUGGCAGGAAAGAAACGUCGCGGGUUAAUACCCCGCGAAACUGACGGUACCUGCAGAAUAAGCACCGGCUAACUACGUGCCAGCAGCCGCGGUAAUACGUAGGGUGCAAGCGUUAAUCGGAAUUACUGGGCGUAAAGCGUGCGCAGGCGGUUCGGAAAGAAAGAUGUGAAAUCCCAGAGCUUAACUUUGGAACUGCAUUUUUUAACUACCGGGCUAGAGUGUGUCAGAGGGAGGUGGAAUUCCGCGUGUAGCAGUGAAAUGCGUAGAUAUGCGGAGGAACACCGAUGGCGAAGGCAGCCUCCUGGGAUAACACUGACGCUCAUGCACGAAAGCGUGGGGAGCAAACAGGAUUAGAUACCCUGGUAGUCCACGCCCUAAACGAUGUCAACUAGCUGUUGGGGCCUUCGGGCCUUGGUAGCGCAGCUAACGCGUGAAGUUGACCGCCUGGGGAGUACGGUCGCAAGAUUAAAACUCAAAUGAAUUGACGGGGGUCAUAGCUGUUUCCU